rnacentral:rRNA from 1 species
AGUGAACGCUGGCGGCAGGCCUAACACAUGCAAGUCGAACGGCAGCACAGUAAGAGCUUGCUCUUACGGGUGGCGAGUGGCGGACGGGUGAGGUAUGCAUCGGAAUCUACUUUUUCGGGGGGGAUAACGUAGGGAAACUUACGCUAAUACCGGAUACGACGCACGGGUGAAAGCAGGGGAUCUUCUGACCUGGCGCGAAUGAAUGAGCCGAUGUCGGAUUAGCUAGUUGGCGGGGUAAAGGCCCAGCAAGGCGACGAUCCGUAGCUGGUCUGAGAGGAUGGUCCGACACACUGGAACUGAGACACGGUCCAGACUCCUACGGGAGGCCGCAGUGGGGAAUAUUGGACAAUGGGCGCAAGCCUGAUCCUGCCAUACCGCGUGGGUGAAGAAGGCCUUCGGGUUGUUAAGCCCUUUUGUUGUGAAAGAAAAGCAGCAGGUUAAUACCCCGCUGUUCUGACGGUACCCAAAGAAUAAGCACCGGCUAACUUCGUG